rnacentral:rRNA from 1 species
AGAGUUUGAUCCUGGCUCAGAAUCAACGCUGGCGGCGUGCCUAACACAUGCAGGUCGAACGCGAAAGCCCCGCAAGGGGUGAGUAGAGUGGCGAACGGGUGAGUAACGCGUGGGUGACCUACCUUCGAGUGGGGGACAACGUUUCGAAAGGAACGCUAAUACCGCAUCACAUCCCGCCUUUGGACAGGUGGUGAUCAAAGCUGGGGACCGCAAGGCCUGGCGCUUGGAGAGGGGCCCGCGUCCGAUUAGCUAGUUGGUAGGGUAAUGGCCUACCAAGGCGACGAUCGGUAGCCGGCCUGAGAGGGCGGACGGCCACACUGGGACUGAGACACGGCCCAGACUCCUACGGGAGGCAGCAGUGGGGAAUUGUUCGCAAUGGGCGCAAGCCUGACGACGCAACGCCGCGUGGAGGACGAAGAUUUUCGGAUCGUAAACUCCUGUCGAGCGGGACGAAACCCUUGAAGGUCAACACCCUUUGAGGCUGACGGUACCGCGAGAGAGCCC